rfam:Edhazardia aedis TSNM 41457 supercont1.12, whole genome shotgun sequence.
GUCCACGUAGCUCAGUGGUAGAGCGUCAGUCUCCUAAAUUGAAGGUCGAGGGUUCGAUACCCUUCGUGGACG